rnacentral:rRNA from 1 species
AUAACAAUACCGGGCUCUCAGAGUCUGGUAAUUGGAAUGAGUACAAUCUAAAUCCCUUAACGAGAAUUCAUUGGAGGGCAAGUCUGGUGCCAACAGCCGCGAUAAUUCCAGCUCCAA